GCAAACUUGGUCAUUUAGAGGAAGUAAAAGUCGUAACAAGGUUUCCGUAGGUGAACCUGCGGAAGGAUCAUUAACGAAGCCAUUUUGGCAUCAUUUCUUUCUAUUCUGUGAAUUUAUCUUUGCUUUGGGUGGUUUGUUUAGCAGUUUUGUUUUACAACCGCCCAAAUAACAAAACUCUUAAAUUUUUUGAAAUUGUCUGACUGAUUAAAAAAAAUUAAUCAAAACUUUCAACAACGGAUCUCUUGGUUCUCGCAUCGAUGAAGAACGCAGC
rnacentral:misc_RNA from 1 species